CACACACACACACACACAAACUGACCUCAACUUCCCUCUUUUGGGAUGAACAGGUCUGCGCUUGCGAUUUCUUUUACUAACGAACAAAAAAGAUUUUUGAUGUUUAUUCUACAGUUCCACACUUCCCUCUGUGAAAACAUGAUGGAGACAGAUGCAGGACGUGGGUCCUUUCGUGAACAGAUGUCAACGGGGUGGAGACUGGUGAACGACUUCUGACCCCAUGUGACGUAUUCACCUACUUUGCAUACUUUAAAAAAAAAAAAAAACCUUUUUUUAUUCUGCCUGUCAUGCACAACAAGCAGUGAACCUCCACAUUCUAAUGACACACUACAUGUUUUUAUUUUCAUUUUUCAGAGGACGCUCUGACCCAACACUCAGCCUUACAGGAAGCCCUGCUUCCCUGUGGCUCACACACAGACAUGAUGUAGGUUUGAUCAGAGGAUGUGAACCAGUGGUCAUCACACCUAAAUCUGACCACAAACCAUGUAAACAACAACACCCUCUUAAAGGAAGCCAUAGAUGGCGUUACUGCAGACACCACUAAGCUACUGAAACAUUGGAUGCUACAGGCCACAAAGAGAGCCUGUCUAAAUUACAGUUAGUUCAGACAAAGGUUAUUUUCUGGGUCAUUGUAAUUACAGCUGAUGGCAAAUCCAUCUCACCCAACUGAGUUAAAGCAAUUUGAAACCUGCCUAAACCGUGCACGUAAAAACAGCUGAUAUCUUUUCUAGGUCUUUGUUCUUAUUGUAGGACCUUCAGUCCUAACUUUACUGUCUUUGAGGCCUCACUCAGGGUUCUGAUGCAGACAUCUUCAUCGUCCACUUCUUGUCUCACGUGGACGUCUGAGGCUGAACAACGUUCACUGACCUCAUGCUUGCUCUUCAGUCGACUCCUACUUUGGGUCUUCCUGAUCUGACCCUACGCGACCUUUCACUCAAACAGUGGAUGAGAAAUCAGGUUGUACGACUUCUGUUCUUUUGUCCUCAUACUUUGAUUCUUUUGGAAUAGAUCACAUCUUUCUACAGCCCGAUGGCUUAGAUGCAACACCACCUUGCUCAACAUGCUGAAAAUUACUAUCAAGAGUCCGUCGUGAAGUCUGGCUCUUUGCUAAGACACUACUCUGCUCAGGCUGCAGAGUUGAUUGCGUUGACUGAAGCUAGUAAACUAGCAGAAGGAGAGUCUGUUACCAUCUACAGACUCCACAGAUGCUUGUCACACGUUGGUUCUCUGUGGAAGCAUAGGAAGCUUUUGAAGUCUGAUUGCAAACCUAUCUUACAUCAUGAUAAGGUUCUGCUUUGCUGGACGCUGUCCUGCUGCCUACAGCUAAUGCUGUUUGUAACUGUCCCACUCACAACAUCAUAGACAACUUUGUUUCUGCCGACAUGCAGCUGCAGACGCUGCUGCGAAGGUCGCUGCCCAACAACCCCUCCCUCUCCUGAUCCUUGUUUCCUCUCCUGAUCCUUGUUCCCUCUCUCCAACUCUCUCUAUCCUUUCCUUCCUCUCUCCCUGUGCUUUAAACAUUUUGUACCUCACAGGAACGCAGACUCUGGCAGACGAAUGGUUCCACCUGUAGCCAUGGAGUCUGGUUUGGGCCUGAUGGAAGCAGUGCUGCCCAAACACCCUUUCCCCAUAAUUCAGAUUUCCCAACAGGUGAAAGCAGGCGACAGGACCAUUACACACCAUCCAACCAGGGCACUGGGUGAUCGUUAAGGAGUUCAGGAGGAAGCACUGGGACUCCAAACGGUGGCGAGGCCACUUCCAGGUCCUUCUGACGACCCACACGGCUGUAAAGAUCGCAGAGAGAGCGACUUGGAUCCACUACACUGCAAGAAGGUCCCGGAUCCAACAGACGACCCUCCAUCUACAUCUACACCACACAAGAAAACCACCACUGAUGAAAAGAAUUGAGAAGAACGACCCUCGCUGUGCUCACACACGCACUGAGGCGAGGCUGCGUUGACCGUUCAGCUAAAGGUGUGAGCCAAGCGCCGCCUGAAGCUGCGCCGGUGAAUCACACUAUCAGACCAUACAUCUACACACACGUUCCUGAGAAAACACACACACGAGCAGCCUUGAGUUGCCGACGCUGGACGACGUGUAGACUCUUCACAUCACGGGAGUGACAGUGACUCAGACGACAUUGGGAGGAAACCUGGCGGUGAUAACAAAUCCCAAGUGUCUCUGUGAUCAGCUGAUCACAACCUGAAGAACCCCAACGAACUGUCAAUACUUCAACACACAGGUUGGAAACAAUCUAACGCUACUGUUCAACAGGAAGAAGCAGAUUGUUACGAGACAUCAAUUGUAAACAUGUUUUGUUAAACUUCAUUUUAUGUUACUUGGAUUAUUGCCUUUAGCAUAUGAUGUUUCUAUGUAACUUUACACACUACUUUUGAAUGAGAAAAUUCACAACAACAACAACACUGAGUUUAAAUAUCCUGAAGUUGAUUUGGUGUUUAAUUUGCUCACAAUCACUUUAUUCACUGCUACAAUUAGUUCUAUCCUUCAUCUACAGAUGAAAGACAACAGAAGCGGAAAUAUGCAUCAUCAUUCUGGUUAAAUCCCUGAAUCUCCUAUUCGCCCUAGACGCAAAUGUACAAUUAAAGAUCUGAAAGUAUGAAAUCUAUCUUAAGAAUAUAUGAAACAGAACCCCACCGGAAACCUAUGGCUAUCAUACAUUAAUUGUAUUUAUUACAUUACAAUUGAAUGGCCUUAGACACGUUGUUAGCAGAGAAAAGAGGCGUUUGUGUUAUGUUUGGAGAGGCAUAUUGUACUUACAUCCUGAAUAACACUGAUUCUAAUGGUAUUGUGGCGAAGGCGCUACACGGCCUUCAGAAUCUCAGCUAACUCUGGUAUAGAUUCUUCCUCUUGGAAUUGGCUAGACGAAAUGUCUGGAAAAUGGAAAUCUGUUCUCAUGUCCACAGCUGUUUCCUUUAUAAUUGAGAUGGCUGUGAUUCUCUUGUUUGGUUUUUACGUUAUCCCACUGGUUAGAGGUCUCAUCAUGCGUGCGACCUCAGCAACACUCUCGUAUGAGAUGACACAAUGCACUAUGUUCAAAAACCCCAACUCUAACUCACUUAAUGACUUUGACGAUGGUAUUGGCUUAUUUUCUUCACAUGCCAAUACAGAGGUUAUUCUUGUUUAACUACCCACCAAAAACAGCUCCCAACCUUUUGUCCCUUAGUUACUUCCAUUUUAUGUGAAGGUGUAUUUUGAAUCUUGAUGAGUUAAUACCCUUAUUGUUUCAUUUGCAAGGAUCUUUUAUUAUUACAGAAUGUGAUGUUGACAAUUUUUCUUCUUAGUGGUUGAUUAAUGUGUAAUCAAAAGGGGGGAGUGUUAUGGCAAAAAUUGUCUCUUCCUUAUUUCUAUGCAUUUCUAUGCAGUUAUUAUACGAGUUAUGACUUAUGUUCUGCAAUUAAUAUCUUAUGUUUUGUCUUACUGUAUGCAUUUGACAUUUCACCUACAUUGUUCAAUGGUUGUCUCUGCCUGAUAGACUCUCAACUCUAGCUCCCAAACCCAAGGUCGGGGAGUUGUGUCUCUGUCUGUUGAGACUUGGUGCUCCUUUCUCACAGAUAGUUGGACGUCAGCAAUGCAGGUGUGAGAAAGUAAAAAUCUUCACACACACUGCGACAGGGAGGAGAUGGUGCAUGUCAUUUGAUUGGUUUAGAAUGACAGUCCACCCUAGUCGGACAGAGAAGCUAAAAGGCAGAAGCAACUUUAGGAUCGUGGGCUCUUUGCAUCACACCUUCGUGGUGUGUGCACUGAUCUCCCCAGCUGGUUUUUGGUUUGUUGAUGUGCACGAUCAACAUCCAUGCUUUUUAUUUGCUUUCCCCAUUAUUUUUAUUUUCUUUAUUAUUUCAAUAAAUCGCACAAAAGGACAACUCUCUCAUCUGCCUCUUUAUGGGAAAUUUCCACCACAGAGACAUUAACAUAUUGUCACCACUCGGUCAAUAGGUGUGAAAUACUUUAGCUUCAGGACAAAGAAAAAGCUCCAUGGGAGAUUGGGCAGCAUAAUCAGCUGCACCUACGUAGGCUGUGGGACGCCAAAACCUUUCACUUCACCUUUUUUAAACGCUCUGGCAGACUACCACUGCUAACUUGUAGAGGAUAUUGUAUAAUAAAAUAAAUAAAUUGUAUUAAACUCUCUCUAUGGUAUGCAAGAA